AAUCAACGCUGGCGGCGUGCCUAACACAUGCAAGUCGAACGCGAAAGUCUCGCAAGGGAUGAGUAGAGUGGCAAACGGGUGAGUAACACGUGGGUGACCUGCCUUCGAGCGGGGGAGUAACGUCCCGAAAGGGGCGGCUAAUACCGCAUAACAUCCUGUCUUUUAAGUAGGCGGAGAUCAAAGACCGGGGAGUCGCAAGACCUGGCACUUGAAGAGGGCCCGCGCCUGAUUAGCUAGUUGGUGGGGUAAUGGCUCACCAAGGCAACGAUCAGUAUCCGGCCUGAGAGGGCGGACGGACACACUGGGACUGAGACACGGCCC
rnacentral:rRNA from 1 species